rnacentral:rRNA from 1 species
GACCAACCCUUAAAGACUGCUGCAUCUUUAGGAUAUUCUAGUCCAACAUCGAGGUCACAAACUCUCUUUUCGAUAAGGGCUCUCAAAGAGAAUUAUGCUGUUAUCCCUAUGGUAACUAAUUCCAUUAAUCAAAAUUUUUGGAUCAGUACUUGUAAGUCUUGCUAGUUGUAAAGAAGCUUUAUUUGUUCCAUAGUCGCCCCAACCAAAAUCUAAAAUAGAUUAAUAUUUAGAGUUAUAUAUUGUUUUCAAUUUAUUCUUUUAAAGCUCAAUAGGGUCUUCUUGUCUUUCAAUUAUAUCUAGGUUUCUUCACCUAGAAAUCAAAUUCUAAAAAAUUACAUAGAGACAGCUUUGUUCACGUCAAACCAUUCAUACUAGCCCUCAAUUAUAGGGCAAAUGAUUAUGCUACCUUUGCACGGUCAGAGUACCGCGGCCGUUAAAAUAUAUUCACUGGGCAGGUCCGACUC